UACGGAGGGGGCUAGCGUUGUUCGGAAUUACUGGGCGUAAAGCGCGCGUAGGCGGCUUUGUAAGUUAGAGGUGAAAGCCCGGAGCUCAACUCCGGAAUUGCCUUUAAGACUGCAUCGCUAGAAUCAUGGAGAGGUGAGUGGAAUUCCGAGUGUAGAGGUGAAAUUCGUAGAUAUUCGGAGGAACACCAGUGGCGAAGGCGGCUCACUGGUCCAUUACUGACGCUGAGGUGCGAAAGCGUGGGGAGCAAACAGG
rnacentral:rRNA from 1 species